GUGCGGCGGCUCUAAUGGCUCACCUUCAUAGUUGGGCCUUUUUCUUUGGUCAACCUGUAGAAAAUAGAAUGGUGAACACAAUGGUGGAAAAAAUUGCACGAAUUGGAAUCGGGAAGGGGCUCAUCGAAGGUGAUUUUUGGUUUUUCUCGCGGUGGUGGCACUGGGCUUUACCCACGAUUUCUGACUCAUUCACCAUUUGUUUUGCUCUGAUUUGGCCAUGAAGGUGUUCAAAAUCAAAUUUUGAGCGAAUAGGAGAAGUUUUACCUUUUUUGGCGGUCGGAGAUGGCUCUGGCACGGCGGCGAGCGGUGAUCGGCUCCCGUCUCCAGUGAUUGGUUCUUCUUCUCCAACGGGGGGUUGGUGGCUAGGGUUUGGGUUAUGUGUGAAGUGAGAUAUUUAUACCCGUCUCCCUUAAAUCUGGGCCAUUCAUCGCAUUUGAUCUCGACCGUCCGAUCGUGUUUAAAGAGAAAAUGAAUAUGGACCUUUCAUCGCAGUUUGAUAUUGAUCGUACGAUCGCAUUUAUAGAAAAAACAAAUAUGGACCGUUCAUUAUAUUUAAUCGUGACCGUCCAAUUUCACCUGAGGAGGGAACGGAUCUGGACUGUCCACGCGUACGAGAACGCAUCCGGGCCGUCUGAUCGCGGGCACGGAGAUUGCUAGCGUGGCCUCCUAUGUGGCACCGAAUUAGCGUGUCUUGCCACGCGGUGAGCUCCGAUUUGUUGGGACUGCUAACUGGGCGGUCCUACGUGGUGCAUUUUUCUUUAAUUACGUCUUCACCUCUAGUUUUAAAUUUUUCUUUCAAAAAUACCCCCCGAACCCAAAUUUUCACCCCUUUUUCCCAAAAUUAUUUUCAAUUUCAU
rnacentral:lncRNA from 1 species